GGGCCCGUGGCCUAGAUCAGAUAGGGCACUCUGGAUUAAGGCGCUGGCCUCCGGAGCCGGAGAUCGGGGGUUCAAAUCCCUCCGGGCCCG
rnacentral:tRNA from 1 species